AGAGUUUGAUCCUGGCUCAGGAUAAACGCUGGCGGCGUGCCUAAAACAUGCAAGUCGGACGGCCCCUUCGGGGGCAGUGGCGGACGGCUGAGUAACACGUGGGUGACCUGCCCUCGAGCGGGGGAUAACUGCCCGAAAGGGUGGCUAAUACCGCAGACGUCUGUUCUUCGGUGGGCAGACUGAACUCCAUUUCGGUGGGGGUUCGGGGAGGGGCCCGCGGCCGAUUAGCUGGCUGGUGGGGUAACGGCCUACCAGGGCUGCGAUCGGUAGCUGGUCUGAGAGGAUGAUCAGCCAGACUGGGACUGCGAACGGCCCAGACUCCUACGGGAGGCAGCAGUUAGGAAUUUUGGGCAAUGGGCGAAAGCCUGACCCAGCAACGCCGCGUGGGUGAUGAAGGCCCUCGGGUCGUAAAGCCCUUUUCCCAGGGAAGAUGGUGACGGUACCUGGGGAAUCAGCCCCGGCUAACUACGUGCCAGCAGCCGCGGUAAUACGUAGGGGGCAAGCGUUGUCCGGAUUUAUUGGGCGUAAAGCGCUCGCAAGUGGUCCGUCGCGUCGUGCGUGAAAGGCCCCGGCUCAACUGGGGAGGGUCGUGCGAUACGGGCGGACUGGAGGCCAGUAGGGGGAUGCGGAAUUCCGGGUGUAGUGGUGGAAUGCGUAGAGAUCCGGAGGAACACCAGCGGCGAAGGCGGCAUCCUGGACUGGUCCUGACACUCAGGAGCGAAAGCGUGGGGAGCGAUCCGGAUUAGAUACCCUGGUAGUCC
rnacentral:rRNA from 1 species